AGUGGGAUAACUGGGUCAAAUGGUGGUUCCAUUCCAAGUUUUCUGAGGAAUCUCCCCAUUGCUUUCCACAGUGGCUGUACCAAUUUGCAGUCCCACUAGCAAU
rnacentral:pre_miRNA from 1 species